GAUGAACGCUAGCGACAGGCUUAACACAUGCAAGUCGAGGGGCAGCACGGGAGUAGCAAUACAACUGGUGGCGACCGGCGCACGGGUGAGUAACGCGUAUGCAACCUACCUAUCAGAGGGGAAUAACCCGGCGAAAGUCGGACUAAUACCGCAUAAAACAGGGGCACCGCAUGGUGAUAUUUGUUAAAGAAAUUCGCUGAUAGAUGGGCAUGCGUUCCAUUAGGUAGUUGGUGAGGUAACGGCUCACCAAGCCGACGAUGGAUAGGGGAACUGAGAGGUUGGUCCCCCACACUGGUACUGAGACACGGACCAGACUCCUACGGGAGGCAGCAGUGAGGAAUAUUGGUCAAUGGGCGAGAGCCUGAACCAGCCAAGUCGCGUGAAGGAAGAAGGAUCUAUGGUUCGUAAACUUCUUUUGCAGGGGAAUAAAGUGCAGGACGUGUCCUGUUUUGUAUGUACCCUGAGAAUAAGGAUCGGCUAACUCCGUGCCAGCAGCCGCGGU
rnacentral:rRNA from 1 species